GCGCGCCCGGAGGAUGGCCGGCUGCGGGCUGUCGGAGGACGCCUUCUUCUCGUCCUUCUUCUGCAGCUACACCUCCUCCUGGGAAGCCUCCUACAACCAGCUCUUCCUGUUCAGUGGGACGUAGCUAUGAUGUUGAUCAGAGGGUGAAGUAGAUAGAACAGGUCACUUCCAGUCUUCACCCAGGGCAGUGUCAAUGAAGACCUUUUCUUGAAUUCAAGUAGA
rnacentral:lncRNA from 1 species